UCCCUGGAGGACUAGUGGUUAGGUCAUGGGACUUUCACUGCCAUGGCCCAGGUUUGAUUCCUGGCCAGGGAC
rnacentral:tRNA from 1 species